AGACUGCUGGGGGGACGAGACCGAGCCCGGCCUCCUCUGGGACCUCGUCCCCACGGCCCCGGUCCCGGCUUCGGCCCGCCCAGCCCGGUCUCAGCAAAGAUCCUGCUGGUCACCCCAGCCCAUCUCCGAUCACCCCGGACACCUGAUGCGUUCUUCGUCCCCCCUCUCCCGCGGAAUCUAGUCCGUGACUCAGUCCCCUACCCGUCACGUCUCUCAGGAGCUUUCCACCCACUGGCCUCUCAUGCGCCUUGGCCAUAAAUCCCCCGUCUUUGUUGAAUUGGAGUUGAGCGCUCUCUUUCUCCUCUCACUGCAAUAAUUUUGAAUAACGCUUUUACCAACUGGUCAGAAUCAUCGUUUUCUUUCACAGAGGUCAGCGAUGGCUUUCUCAGAGUCACAGCAACAUCCGAAGCCCAGGGCUGUGGAGGAUCUCCCUGUUGGAGGGACCUCUGUUAAACCGUUGACUUUCCAUCCACCCAUUUCUAUUUUAAGAGUUUGUGGAAGAACUCAAGACCCCUCAGUGGCUGUUCCUACCCACUUGGUGGCCUGAGCAGUGGGAGCUGCAGCCCAGUCUUCAGUGGCAGGCUAAGCAUUCAGAAUCUAGUAUAGGGAACGGCCGGAUGGGCACGGAGGCACCCACCUGCCACCACGGGAUCUCUCUAGAAGCAGAGGUCAGGCGUGGCCUCCCGUGGGCGUGCACGGGAGAUGGUGCCACGCAGGCACGCGCAGAACCUCCCGGGGGACCAUCCACCACGUCAGACCCACGGGCGCUUGGCCUGAGUUCGCCGUGGACCGCUGCACCUGCCCUUCCCUGGUCCGGAUGCCUCGGGUGGUUCUGGCUCCACCCGCUUCUUCCUCCGGGCCCUGCUCAGCCAGGCCUUCCCACCGCCCUGACACUGACCGGUGACCUCCAGCUCCUGCUCCCCUGAACUCGUCAAUGUUGAGCACGACCCGAGACGGCGUCUGUCAUUCUCCCCCAGCCUGCGAGUCUGGGCUCCUCUUUUCCCUGGAGCCCCAGCCCCUAGGCAGGGUCUGCCUGUGGAGAGGCUUCAGGAGAGGCCUGCGGGCUGGCUGACUGACCUGCCACAUGGUCAGCAGGUAUCUUUAGAGCCAGCUCUGGCAGGUCCCCAAGUCCCCACUCCCUGUCGUCCGCUGGAGGGAGAAGUCCCCCCCCACACUGGGUUGCAAAGACUGCAGAUGGAUGUGGGGAAUUCGGGGGGGUGCUCGGCAAGGGUGCAGGGGUCACCUAAGUGAAAGAAUGAGCCCCUCUGCCCUCCUUCGCCAACAGGUGACCGUGGCCAGUGAGGAGAGUGGCCGGGACUGACGAAGUCUGUGGCAAACUGUUGCAGGAAGAGGGCCCCCUUCCAGGGCCGAGUGUGGGCUCUUGUCUAACACUCAGAAAUGAAUUUUUGAGGAGACACACAUGCUGACAAAGAAAAAGACUUUUCUGGGAAGGGGCCCCCCUGGGGGAGAGCGGCAGGGUCAGGAAACCAGGAGAACUGCUCUGCCUGUGGCUGGUAGUCUCGGGUUUUAUAGGAAUGGGGUGUUUCCAAGUUGUCUUUGGCCGGUGGUCUCGCUCGGCCCAUAUUUGGUCCAACUCGAGGCCCUUCCUGGUGGCGCACGUGCCCUCAGCCCCGAUGGAUUCCACCGCGGGGGGUUCUGGGAGGUUGGUGGGACGUGUUAUGGCGUCUCCUCCCUCCUUUGGGCCCCUCCCGAAUUCCCCUGUUUUUUUUUAGCUUUCGGCUGGCAGCACCAUGUUCCUUUGGGGACCUCCUGUUGUGAGCCAGCUUGCUUGAGUGGUUAUCAGUGUGCCUGGCCAGGGUGGGCAGUUUCGGGCAGUGGUUCCCCAGCAAAACCACAGAACGAACUUGUGUAAGAGAACAGCCUUGUGUACUCGUGUUAUACGGUGUCUAGACUGUCAGGGGUCCUUUCCAGCUCUGUUCCUGUUUUGUUUUUUUUCUUUUGCUUUUUAGAGCCACGUGUGGCAUGUGGAAGUUCCCAGGCUCGGAGUCAGAUUGGAGCUGCAGUCACCAGCCUAUGCUACAGCCACAGCAACGCGGGGUCCGAGCCACCUCUGUGACCUGCACCCCAGCUCAUGGCAACCCCAGAUA
rnacentral:lncRNA from 1 species